CAGCAGCCGCCGCGGUAAUACGUAGGUCCCGAGCGUUGUCCGGAUUUAUUGGGCGUAAAGGGUGCGUAGGCGGGUCUUUAAGUCAGGGGUGAAAUCCUGGAGCUCAACUCCAGAACUGCCUUUGAUACUGAAGAUCUUGAGUUCGGGAGAGGUGAGUGGAACUGCGAGUGUAGAGGUGAAAUUCGUAGAUAUUCGCAAGAACACCAGUGGCGAAGGCGGCUCUCUGGUCUGUAACUGACGCUGAGGAGCGAAAGCGUGGGGAGCGAACAGGAUUAGAUACCCCUGUAGUCCCUGUCUCUUAUAC
rnacentral:rRNA from 1 species